rnacentral:rRNA from 1 species
AUACGUAGGGGGCGAGCGUUGUCCGGAAUGAUUGGGCGUAAAGGGCGCGUAGGCGGCGCGGUAAGUCUGGAGUGAAAGUCCUGCUUUCAAGGUGGGAAUUGCUUUGGAUACUGUCGGGCUUGAGUGCAGGAGAGGUAAGUGGAAUUCCCAGUGUAGCGGUGAAAUGCGUAGAGAUUGGGUGGAACACCAGUGGCGAAGGCGACUUACUGGACUGUAACUGACGCUGAGGCGCGAAAGUGUGGGGAGCAAACAGGAUUAGAUACCCUGGUAGUCCACACUGUAAACGAUGAAUGCUAGGUGUAGGGGGUAUCGACCCCUUCUGUGCCGCAGUCAACACAAUAAGCAUUCCGCCUGGGGAGUACGGCCGCAAGGUUGAAACUCAAAUGAAUUGGCGG